UAAUGAAGCUAUUGAGGCAGAAAUUC
rnacentral:piRNA from 1 species